rnacentral:rRNA from 1 species
AUUGAACGCUGGCGGCAGGCCUAACACAUGCAAGUCGAGCGGAUGAAGGGAGCUUGCUCCUGGAUUCAGCGGCGGACGGGUGAGUAAUGCCUAGGAAUCUGCCUGGUAGUGGGGGAUAACGUCCGGAAACGGGCGCUAAUACCGCAUACGUCCUGAGGGAGAAAGUGGGGGAUCUUCGGACCUCACGCUAUCAGAUGAGCCUAGGUCGGAUUAGCUAGUUGGUGGGGUAAAGGCCUACCAAGGCGACGAUCCGUAACUGGUCUGAGAGGAUGAUCAGUCACACUAGAACUGAAACACGGUCCAGACUCCUACGGGAGGCAGCAGUGGGGAAUCUUGGACAAUGGGCGCAAGCCUGAACCAGCCACGCCGCGUGUGUGAAGAAGGUCUUCGGAUUGUAAAGCACUUUAAGUUGGGAGGAAGAGCAGUAAGUUAAUACCUUGCUGUUUUGACGUUACCAACAGAAUAAGCACCGGCUAACUUCGUG